ensembl:misc_RNA Metazoa_SRP Metazoan signal recognition particle RNA
GCUGGGUGUGGAAGUGCGCGCCUGUAAUCCCAGCUGCUUGGGAGGCCGAGGCAGGCUGAUCGCUGGAGGUCAGGAGUUCAACUCCAGCCUGACCAACACGGUGAAACCCUGUCUCUA